CUCCAGUUUGAGAACCCCUUCUGUAGGGGAGGGGUGUCCUCUAGUCCCAGAAUGGAGGUGGCCCCAAAUCCAACCCAAGAAAGGAGAGGGCUGCAAAGGGAAGAUCCAAAAUCAGUCCUAUGAGGCCCUUGCCCUUCUCUUCAGGAGCAAGACUGAAGACAUGCUUGGGCAAGGGUUCUCAAACGGGUCGGGAACCCUCGGGGUCACAAGCUGUCAGCCUCCACCCCAAACCCCACUUUGCCUCCAGCAUUAAUAAUGGUGUUAAAUAUAUAAAAAUGUGGUUUUAACUGAUAAGGGGGUCACAUUCAAAGGCUUGCUAUGUGAAAGGGAUCACCAGUACAAAAGUUUGAGAACCACUGCUCUGUGCUGACAG